GACGAACGCUGGCGGCGUGCCUAACACAUGCAAGUUGAGCGACGAACCAGGGCUUGCCCUGGGGCAAAGCAGCGAACGGGUGAGUAACACGUGGGUAACCUACCCCGAUAACCGGGACAACCCGAGGAAACUCGGGCUAAUACCGGAUGUGCUCACUGGACUUCGGUUCAGUGCGUAAAGGAAGCUUCGGCCUCCGUAUCGGGAGGGGCUCGCGGCCCGUUAGUUUGUUGGUGAGGUAACGGCUCACCAAGACCGCGAUGGGUAGCUGGUCUGAGAGGCGGAUCAGCCACACGGGGACUGAGACACGGCCCAGACUCCUACGGGAGGCAGCAGUGGGGAAUCUUGCGCAAUGCGCGAGAGCGUGACGCAGCAACGCCGCGUGGGGGAAGAAGGCCUUCGGGUUGUAAACCCCUUUCAGGAGGGACGAAGGUUCGGCAGUUAACAGCUGUCCGGACUGACGGUACCUCCACAAGAAGCCCCGGCUAACUACGUGCCAGCCGCCGCAGUAA
rnacentral:rRNA from 1 species